AUUGAACGCUGGCGGCAGGCUUAACACAUGCAAGUCGAGCGGAGAGAGGUAGCUUGCUACUGAUCUUAGCGGCGGACGGGUGAGUAAUGCUUAGGAAUCUGCCUAUUAGUGGGGGACUACAUUUCGAAAGGAAUGCUAAUACCGCAUACGUCCUACGGGAGAAAGCAGGGGAUCUUCGGACCUUGCGCUAAUAGAUGAGCCUAAGUCGGAUUAGCUAGUUGGUGGGGUAAAGGCCUACCAAGGCGACGAUCUGUAGCGGGUCUGAGAGGAUGAUCCGCCACACUGGGACUGAGACACGGCCCAGAAUCCUACGGGAGGCAGCAGUGGGGAAUAUUGGACAAUGGGCGCAAGCCUGAUCCAGCCAUGCCGCGUGUGUGAAGAAGGCCUUAUGGUUGUAAGGCACUUUAAGCGAGGAGGAGGCUACUUUAGAUAAUACCUAGAGAUAGUGGACGUUACUCGCAGAAUAAGCACCGGCUAACUCUGUGCCAGCAGCCGCAGUAA
rnacentral:rRNA from 1 species